rnacentral:lncRNA from 1 species
AGACAAAAAAUGAAUGUUAACGCAGAAUGUAAAGGAUUAUUAAUAUCGCCAGUGUCUUACAGAAAAACCAGUAGUAGUAUAAAAGAAAUUAUAAAUUAUUUAAAUAAACAUUAUCCUUUAAAUAAAGAUAAAAUUUGUAUAAAUGGUGAUAGUAAACAUAACAAUGAAAAUGAGAAUGACAAAACUAACGGUAUAAGUAACGAAAAAACAAUUGACAUAAAUAAAAGUGUAGAAAAUAAUGAUGAAGAUGAAGAGAAAUUUAGUAAAAUGGAACAACAACUGAAUGAAGAGAUUAAAGAAGCUAAAUUAGAUUAUGAUCGAUUUGUACCUCUUAAAAAUAUCGUAAAACAUUUUACUCUUAUAAAAUUUAAUAAUGCAGAAGAAAAAACACCAUCAGAUAUUGUUCAUGACAUAUUUUCAGAAGCACAAACUAAAAAAGAAAAGUUUUUUUUUCAGGAAUAUAUGCAAAUUAAUGCCACUUGAUAAUAUUUGUAAACCACAUAUUACCAAUUUAAUAAAAAUAUUAUUACCAUUAUUAAAGGAUAAUUUUACCAAAAGUAUAUGUGUCGAGCAAAAUUUCACUUAUACUAUUUUAUUAAAUAUGUUAGGACUAACUGAGCAGUUGGUAAAAGAAAAUGAAGAAAAUGAAGAAAAUGAAGAAAAUGAAGAAAAUGAAGAAAAAGAAGAAAAGGAAGAAAAUGAAGAAAAUGAAGAAAAUGAAGAAAAAGAAGAAAAGGAAGAAAAAGAAGAAAAGGAAGAAAAGGAAGAAAAGGAAGAAAAAGAAGAAAAAGAAGAAAAUGAAAAAAAGGAAGAAAAGGAAGAAAAAGAAAAAAAUGAAGAAAAAGAAAAAAAUGAAGAAAAAGAAAAAAAGGAAGCUCAGUUAAAUGGGACAAACACGUUAAAAGAAAAUGAAAUUGAGAAAGAGAAGGAGGACGAGAAAAAGGAUGAGAACGUAGAAGUUGAAACACAAGAUGGUCAUACAAAAGAGAAUGGGAAGUGUGAGGAAGUGGUUAAAAAGGCUUCUGAAGUAGCAACAGUAACCAAAGUAGCAGAGGCAGAUAAAGCAGUUGAAGUACCCGAAAAAAAAAAAACCUAUGCGUUAAUAUAUAAAUGUACACGCAAUAAUACAUUAUCUAAAUCAAUAGUAAUAAAAGUGUUGGAUAAAUGUAUUGGAAAUAACUAUAAAGUAAAUUUGACUAAACCUGAUUUAGCAAUAUUUGUUUAUGUAACUGAGAUUAUGUGUGGAGUAAGUAUAGUUAAAGAUUAUGGUGACAUGAAAAAAUUCAACAUUUCUGCUUUUAAUAUCAAUUACAAUAACGAGGAUCAUUAGUUUUAAUUUUAUAAUUAAUAAACAGCACUUCUGUGCGAGUACUUUUUUUGGG